UACGGGGGGGGCAAGCGUUGUUCGGAAUUACUGGGCGUAAAGGGCUCGUAGGCGGCCAACUAAGUCAGACGUGAAAUCCCUCGGCUUAACCGGGGAACUGCGUCUGAUACUGGAUGGCUUGAGUUUGGGAGAGGGAUGCGGAAUUCCAGGUGUAGCGGUGAAAUGCGUAGAUAAUCUGGAGGAACACCCGUGGCGAAGGCGGCUCUCUGGGACGGUACUGACGCUGAGACGCGAAAGCGUGGGGAGCGAACAGG
rnacentral:rRNA from 1 species